rnacentral:rRNA from 1 species
GACAGAGGUGCCAAGCGUUAGGCGGAAUCACUGGGCUUAAAGCGUGUGUAGGCGGCCCGUUAAGUGUCUUGUGAAAUCCCCCGGCUCAACCGGGGAACUGCUGGGCAUACUGGCGGGCUUGGGUCGCUCAGGGGCAGACGGAACAGGCGGUGGAGCGGUGAAAUGCGUAGAUAUCAUUUGGAACGCCAAUGGUGAAAACAGGUAGCUGGGGCUGUGCUGACACUGAGACACGAAAGCCAGGGGAGCAAACGGG